AUUGGCCUGUGGAAAAAAAUGUA
rnacentral:miRNA from 1 species